rnacentral:rRNA from 1 species
AUGAACGCUAGCGGGAGGCCUAACACAUGCAAGCCGAGCGGUAGAGAUUCUUCGGGAUCUUGAGAGCGGCGUACGGGUGCGGAACACGUGUGCAACCUGCCUUUAUCUGGGGGAUAGCCUUUCGAAAGGAAGAUUAAUACCCCAUAAUAUAAGAGACGGCAUCGUUUUUUAUUGAAAACUCCGGUGGAUAGAGAUGGGCACGCGCAAGAUUAGAUAGUUGGUGAGGUAACGGCUCACCAAGUCUACGAUCUUUAGGGGGCCUGAGAGGGUGAUCCCCCACACUGGUACUGAGACACGGACCAGACUCCUACGGGAGGCAGCAGUGAGGAAUAUUGGACAAUGGGUGAGAGCCUGAUCCAGCCAUCCCGCGUGAAGGACGACGGCCCUAUGGGUUGUAAACUUCUUUUGUAUAGGGAUAAACCUGCCCUCGUGAGGGUAGCUGAAGGUACUAUACGAAUAAGCACCGGCUAACUCCGUGCCAGCCGCCGCGGUAA